UGUAGAGUUUGAUCCUGGCUCAGAUUGAACGCUGGCGGCAUGCCUUACACAUGCAAGUCGAACGGUAACAGGUUAAGCUGACGAGUGGCGAACGGGUGAGUAAUGUAUCGGAACGUGCCCAGUCGUGGGGGAUAACUGCUCGAAAGAGCAGCUAAUACCGCAUACGACCUGAGGGUGAAAGCGGGGGAUCGCAAGACCUCGCGCGAUUGGAGCGGCCGAUAUCAGAUUAGGUAGUUGGUGAGGUAAAGGCUCACCAAGCCGACGAUCUGUAGCUGGUCUGAGAGGACGACCAGCCACACUGGGACUGAGACACG
rnacentral:rRNA from 1 species